UGCCACAUUCACUGGAAUCCAAUAGCUCGCCACAUAUCCUUCUUCUUAUCUUUUUUUAGUAUUGUGUCAACUCUCUGCUACUUCGAAUCCUUGCUGGAGAAGGUAUGUGAAUCUAAAUCAUAAAUGGCUCCUGGUGGAAGCUUUAUGGAGAAUUUCUUUUUGUUACCAAAAGCCCCCAGCAUAGAUAUAAUACAACCAUCACCUUUGCUGACGGCCUUCCUAACUAAGGAGGUCUUUUUGAACUCUGGAUCUAUCCUGCCGCUCGCAGAACCGGAGCUCGACUCAUAGUAUGAGAGCCUAAAUUGAGCCCUAUGCCUGGCCACCUCAUCCUAUUGCCACUGAUCAUCCAGGCUUGCUUGAAUGGCAGCCUGGAUCUGUACCUCUUUAUCAUCUGGAGCAGACAUCUCUUACUUUCUGGAGGGAUAAGAAGGUGGCUUUGUCACUCGACAGUCCACCUCCACCUUC
rnacentral:lncRNA from 1 species